rnacentral:rRNA from 1 species
GGAACGAACGCUGGCGGCAUGCCUAAUACAUGCAAGUCGAACGAACACUUCGGUGUUAGUGGCGCACGGGUGCGUAACGCGUGGGAAUCUGCCCUUGGGUUCGGAAUAACAGUUGGAAACGACUGCUAAUACCGGAUGAUAUCGAAAGAUCAAAGAUUUAUCGCCCAGGGAUGAGCCCGCGUAGGAUUAGCUAGUUGGUGAGGUAAAGGCUCACCAAGGCGACGAUCCUUAGCUGGUCUGAGAGGAUGAUCAGCCACACUGGGACUGAGACACGGCCCAGACUCCGUACGGGAGCAGCAGGUAGGGAAUAGUGGACAAGUGGGCACGAAGCCUAGACUCCGAGCAAUGCCGCGUGAGUGAGUGAAGGUCCGUUAGGGUUAGUAAGUCUUACCUUUUACCGAGUAUAGAUAA